GAACGCGUUGAGCCCAAUUGAUUGAUGGUGCUUGCACCUGAUUGAUUUUGGUCGCCAACGAGUGGCGGACGGGUGAGUAACACGUAGGUAACCUGCCCAGAAGCGGGGGACAACAUUUGGAAACAGAUGCUAAUACCGCAUAACAACGUUGUUCGCAUGAACAACGCUUAAAAGAUGGCUUCUCGCUAUCACUUCUGGAUGGACCUGCGGUGCAUUAGCUUGUUGGUGGGGUAACGGCCUACCAAGGCGAUGAUGCAUAGCCGAGUUGAGAGACUGAUCGGCCACAAUGGGACUGAGACACGGCCCAUACUCCUACGGGAGGCAGCAGUAGGGAAUCUUCCACAAUGGGCGCAAGCCUGAUGGAGCAACACCGCGUGAGUGAAGAAGGGUUUCGGCUCGUAAAGCUCUGUUGUUAAAGAAGAACACGUAUGAGAGUAACUGUUCAUACGUUGACGGUAUUUAACCAGAAAGUCACGGCUAACUACGUGCCAGCAGCCGCGGUAAUACGUAGGUGGCAAGCGUUAUCCGGAUUUAUUGGGCGUAAAGAGAGUGCAGGCGGUUUUCUAAGUCUGAUGUGAAAGCCUUCGGCUUAACCGGAGAAGUGCAUCGGAAACUGGAUAACUUGAGUGCAGAAGAGGGUAGUGGAACUCCAUGUGUAGCGGUGGAAUGCGUAGAUAUAUGGAAGAACACCAGUGGCGAAGGCGGCUACCUGGUCUGCAACUGACGCUGAGACUCGAAAGCAUGGGUAGCGAACAGGAUUAGAUACCCUGGUAGUCCAUGCCGUAAACGAUGAGUGCUAGGUGUUGGAGGGUUUCCGCCCUUCAGUGCCGGAGCUAACGCAUUAAGCACUCCGCCUGGGGAGUACGACCGCAAGGUUGAAACUCAAAGGAAUUGACGGGGGCCCGCACAAGCGGUGGAGCAUGUGGUUUAAUUCGAAGCUACGCGAAGAACCUUACCAGGUCUUGACAUCUUGCGCCAACCCUAGAGAUAGGGCGUUUCC
rnacentral:rRNA from 2 species